rnacentral:rRNA from 1 species
AGUGAACGCUGGCGGCGUGCCUAAUACAUGCAAGUAGAACGAAGUGGCGCACGGGUGCGUAAUGUAUAGUUACUCUGCCCUACACAGAGGAACAAAAGUUGGAAACGACUGCAAAUGACUCAUAGUGUAGGAUGAGACUAUAUCGUAUCAGCUAGUUGGUAAGGUAAUGGCUUACCAAGGCUAUGACGCGUAACUGGUCUGAGAGGAUGAUCAGUCACAUUGGAACUGAGACACCGUACAAACUCCUACGGGAGGCAGAAGGAAUGAACAUCGCGCAAUGGGGCAAUCACGGACGCAGCCACGCCGCGUGGAGGAUGCCAAUUUGUGGAGCGUAAACUCCUUUUAUCAGGAAAGCGGUACUUGCUGAAUAAGCACCGGCUAACUCCGUGCCAGCAGCCGCGGUAAUUC